rnacentral:rRNA from 1 species
UCAGUCGACUCCUACGGGGAGGCAGCAGUGGGGAAUAUUGCACAAUGGGGGAAACCCUGAUGCAGCCAUGCCGCGUGUGUGAAGAAGGCCUUCGGGUUGUAAAGCACUUUCAGUAGGGAGGAAGGUAGUGUAGUUAACACCUGCAUUAUUUGACGUUACCUACAGAAGAAGCACCGGCUAACUCCGUGCCAGCAGCCGCGGUAAUACGGAGGGUGCGAGCGUUAAUCGGAAUUACUGGGCGUAAAGCGCAUGCAGGUGGUUUGUUAAGUCAGAUGUGAAAGCCCGGGGCUCAACCUCGGAAUUGCAUUUGAAACUGGCAGGCUAGAGUCUUGUAGAGGGGGGUAGGAAUUUCAGGUGUAGCGGUGAAAUGCGUAGAGAUCUGAAGGAAUACCAGUGGCGAAGGCGGCCCCCUGGACAAAGACUGACGCUCAGAUGCGAAAGCGUGGGGAGCAAACAGGAUUAGAUACCCUGGUAG